rnacentral:sRNA from 1 species
CACACGCACACGCAAUAUUUAUGUUUUGUAUUCCAGUCACGUACGAUGACAGCUAAAAUUUAAUUUUCUGUUUAUAUGUAUUUUUCAAUAUACCUCAAUGAAAUGCAAAACUCUCUGAUCUCCUGGCCAAUUGUCGACCCUUACGGCAGAGCAGCAAACACAGUAAACACACCGCAUGCUGGAGUGCCAGCCUGUACACGCAUCGAAAAUGCAUUUGGAAUUUAUAACAAUUACUAUUUCCAUACUCAGUUUUUGUGGGCUACGCAGGGGCCGUAGCCACAGUAAUUGCCAUGGCCUGGAACGCAGACAGGAGCUGGGAGCUUCGAGCAGGAUACGGAAAAUGCAAGACUUUGCUAACUCUUAGAAUCAGACACAGACCCAGCGUCACGCAGACAAUUAUGUUCUCGCAAAUAUGUAAAUGUGCAUAUAAAUGUGGGUAUGAGUGUGUACAGGUCCUUAAAUGUAUGCGCGGUUUUACCUUUUAUGUGAAAAGUUUGACACUUUAUGAGAAAGAGAAGUUCACUUAAACAGUUCAAGCGGAUAAGGGAGAAAAUUAACAUUUAUAUAUUUUUACGCUAAAUAGGAUCUACUAUGAUGUGUAGAAUGUUUUCGAGGUCUAGAGUGUACAGUGCUUGGACGAGA